rnacentral:lncRNA from 1 species
AGAUACUUAAUCAAUGUGACAGCAUCCUACAUUUUUUGAACCCAGAGGCCUUGAAAAAGUUUAAUGCAGCUUCCAGAGUGAAAGAAACAAAGAAAGCAAAGGGGAAGCUACCUGUUUGUAAUUGAACCGCUUAGAAGAGAGGAGCAGCAUUGGGCUGGUCCUUGCUGGCUGAUACAGCUUGCAGCAGCAGAGCCAUCUCAGCAGGAAAUUUCUGAUUUUCACUCCUGCUCUCCGUACAGUUUUAACUAUAAAGUAGAAAUUCCUUACUUAAGAGAAAUCACAGGGAACACUGGUAUGAGCGUAAAGGAAAAGAGCAAGAAAAAAUCAGUGUAAGUGAUGCUAGCUUAACCUAUCAUCUAUUUCUUAACAAAACCCCAGAACAUUCUCUUCUUU